GUUGGAUUUCUACUUUGAUCUACACAGCCUAAAGCUGACAGCUCAGCAUCUUAAUAUGAAUUCUGGUUAGGUCACCUUGAUUGAAUGGCAAUGUGCAGAACCAGCCAACCAGCUUGCUUUUGCGUUGGCUCCUGUCAUGUGGCUACUCUGCUAUGGGAAGAAGGUGGCCCCAGCACCCCUCAAGCUUUCAUGGACUCCCUCAGUUGAAGUAAGCUGAAGACAAAGGGAGAAAAAGGGAGAAGGAAAGAAAAACUGAAACAUUUUAAAAGCAGCUGAAAAGGUGGGAUGACAGAGGAUUAAUCAGGACUGUCCCUGCCAAAUCGGGAAAGUUGGAGGAUAUGAGUACCCAUGUGAGUAAAUUAUGUCAGACAUAUUUUC